rnacentral:rRNA from 1 species
GAUGAACGCUAGCGGCAGGCCUAAUACAUGCAAGUCGAACGGGAUCCAGAUCAAAGCUUGCUUUGGUUUGGUGAGAGUGGCGCACGGGUGCGUAACGCGUGAGCAACCUACCCUUGUCAGGGGGAUAGCCCGGCGAAAGUCGGACUAAUACCGCAUGACAUCAUUGAGAGGCAUCUUUCGAUGAUCAAAGAUUUAUCGGACAAGGAUGGGCUCGCGUGACAUUAGCUAGUUGGUAAGGUAACGUCUUACCAAGGCUGCGAUGUCUAGGGGCUCUGAGAGGGGAGUCCCGCACACUGGUACUGAGACACGGACCAGACUCCUACGGGAGGCAGCAGUAGGGAAUAUUGGGCAAUGGACGGAGGUCUGAACCAGCCAGGCCGCGUGCAGAAAGACGGCUCUAUGAGUUGGAACCUGCUUUUAUACGGGAACAAACGUCGGUACGUGUACCGGUCUGAGUGUACCGUAAGAUAAGGAUCGGCUAACUCCGUG